UCCGGCCCCCGAAUGACCUUGGCUUUGCGUGGGUGGAACUCGCGCUGCCUUCCCGGCCUCUGUGGGGGCCAUCUUAGAAACUAGAAUGAGCGCUGAGACAGAGCGCUUGAGGAGGGGAUGGGACACCUUAGAGGUCAACUGAUAAACUGGUGAGAAGGAAGCCAGAUACCUGCAGGUUGAAAUUUCUGGAGAAGGAAGAGCUAAGAGCUUGAGAGGACGAGGAGUGGGUACCAAACCAGAAUCCAAAGUCACACUUCACUGCGUUCAGUAAUAGCUUGUCAAGGUGACAGGAUCCUCAACUGAUAAAGCUGUUCCGUUUAGCACCAGUAAAUGAGCCCACCAACUUUUAAACAAACUAAAGAACCAAACAUGUCUUUCAGUGGUGGAGAUAUUAAAAUAAAAAUACACCACACGUCUUUCUCUUCUUAAAUGCUUUUUUCAUUCCUUCCCAACCCAGAAACUUCCUGCUCUAUCUGAGAUCCCUGCUGAGUUUUCUUUCAGACUGAUUUUCCAGCCAGGUUGAAUAUAUUUGAAAAGGAAGAAAAAAAAAAGAGCGAGCCCAAGGCAUUUACGUGGGGUCAUUCUGAGGGCUAGCUGGGAUUAAUACCCUAAACUGAAUCUGAUCCAUGCUGGUUCUAUCUCUGAAUAUGCUUGCAUUUAACACUAAAUUAUAAAUUAUAUUUUUAGAAUUACUAGUUAAAAAUAAAGACUGAACUAAUGAGUAGACAGAUCUGUAUGCCAAUGAUUUAAAAAAAAGCAACUUUGUUCCAAGCACUUAAACUGUGUCAUACCAGUUGUUCUCAGAGUGUGGUCUCCAGACCAGCAUGAUUAGCAUCACUUAGGAACUUGAGAAAAACACAAAUUCUUGGGCCUUGCUACAGACCUACUUACUGAAUCAGAAGCUUAGAGGAGAUGCCCUGGGUCAGGAAGAUCCGCGAAGAAGGAAAUGGCAACUCAC